rnacentral:rRNA from 1 species
GAUGAACGCUGGCGGCGUGCCUAAUACAUGCAAGUCGAGCGAACAGAUGAGGAGCUUGCUCCUCUGACGUUAGCGGCGGACGGGUGAGUAACACGUGGAUAACCUACCUAUAAGACUGGGAUAACUUCGGGAAACCGGAGCUAGUACCGGAUAAUAUAUUGAACCGCAUGGUUCAAUAGUGAAAGACGGUUUUGCUGUCACUUAUAGAUGGAUCCGCGCCGCAUUAGCUAGUUGGUAAGGUAACGGCUUACCAAGGCAACGAUGCGUAGCCGACCUGAGAGGGUGAUCGGCCACACUGGAACUGAGACACGGUCCAGACUCCUACGGGAGGCAGCAGUAGGGAAUCUUCCGCAAAGGGCGAAAGCCUGACGGAGCAACGCCGCGUGAGUGAUGAAGGUCUUCGGAUCGUAAAACUCUGUUAUUAGGGAAGAACAAAUGUGUAAGUAACUAUGCACGUCUUGACGGUACCUAAUCAGAAAGCCACGGCUAACUACGUG